GUACGGAAGGCAGCAGUGAGGAAUAUUGGACAAUGGGGGCAACCCUGAUCCAGCAAUGCCGCGUGUGUGAAGAAGGCCUUCGGGUUGUAAAGCACUUUUAUCCGGAACGAAACGCGCAGGGCGAAUACCCUUGCGAACUGACGGUACCGGAGGAAUAAGCACCGGCUAACUUCGUGCCAGCAGCCGCGGUAAUACGAAGGGUGCAAGCGUUACUCGGAAUUACUGGGCGUAAAGCGUGCGUAGGUGGUUUGUUAAGUCUGCUGUGAAAGCCCCGGGCUCAACCUGGGAAUGGCAGUGGAUACUGGCAAGCUAGAGUGCGGUAGAGGGUAGUGGAAUUCCCGGUGUAGCGGUGAAAUGCGUAGAGAUCGGGAGGAACACCAGUGGCGAAGGCGGCUACCUGGACCAGCACUGACACUCAGGCACGAAAGCGUGGGGAGCAAACAGGAUUAGAUACCCCAGUAU
rnacentral:rRNA from 1 species